CACGUAGGGGGCAAGCGUUGUCCGGAUUUAUUGGGCGUAAAGAGCUCGUAGGUGGUUCGGUAAGUCGGGUGUUAAACCCCCAGGCUCAACCUGGGGACGCCACUCGAUACUGCUGUGACUAGAGUCCGGUAGGGGAGCGUGGAAUUCCUGGUGUAGCGGUGAAAUGCGCAGAUAUCAGGAGGAACACCAGCGGCGAAGGCGGCGCUCUGGGCCGGUACUGAUACUGAGGAGCGAAAGCGUGGGGAGCGAACAGG
rnacentral:rRNA from 1 species